GACGAACGCUGGCGGCGUGCUUAACACAUGCAAGUCGAACGGUAAGGCCUUUCGGGGUACACGAGUGGCGAACGGGUGAGUAACACGUGGGUGAUCUGCCCUGCACUUCGGGAUAAGCCUGGGAAACUGGGUCUAAUACCGGAUAGGACCACUGCCUGCAUGGGUGGUGGUGGAAAGAUUUUGGGGCGUGGGAUGGGCCCGCGGCCUAUCAGCUUGUUGGUGGGGUGAUGGCCGACCAAGGCGACGACGGGUAGCCGGCCUGAGAGGGUGACCGGCCACACUGGGACUGAGAGACGGCCCAGACUCCUACGGGAGGCAGCAGUGGGGAAUAUUGCACAAUGGGCGCAAGCCUGAUGCAGCGACGCCGCGUGAGGGAUGACGGCCUUCGGGUUGUAAACCUCUUUCAGCACCGACGAAGCGCAAGUGACGGUAGGUGCAGAAGAAGGACCGGCCAACUACGUGCCAGCAGCCGCGGUAA
rnacentral:rRNA from 1 species